UCUCUACAAAGAUAAACUAAGUGACACUGCAUUUCUUCUUUUUAUCUUCAUAGCAGCCUGUGAAAGAGGCAGGGUGGUAAUUGCAGUCCUCAUUUUAAGGAUAAGAAAAUUAAGGCUCAGGGAAUCUGAGUGAUCUUAGGCCAAAGUUACAACUGCUCUGGGCUGUCACUUUUAAGUGUUCUAACCCUUGCAUCCACGCUCACUCAGUGAGGCAUGCUGAAGCUUGAAAGACAAGUUUGGUCUAGUCUGCCUGUCAUCGGACAUUUAAGGUCUUCCAUCAUGUGUCAGUACUGCUGGGUCCCAGUCUCUGCUACAGCCUUCAUCUCCCAGCCGAGGCCACCUGACUCCCCCAUGAAGGCUCUACCCAUAGAAAUGUCCAAAACCCACCCUGGCCUUCAACAAGAAGGAUUUAAGAAGUACUAGCCCACCUGUAAUCUUAGGGAUUACAGGCCACUUUGAGAGGCCAAGGCAGGCAGAUCACCUGAGGUUGGAAGUUUGAGACCAGUCUGGCCAACAUGGUGAAACCCCGAAUCUACUAAAAAUACAAAAAUUAGCCAGGCAUGGUGGUGCACAUCUGUAAUCCCAGCUCCUCAGGAGGCUGAGGCACGAGAAUCACGCUUGAACCCGGGCGGCAGAGGUUGCAGUGAGCCUGAACAACAAAAGUGAAACUCCGUCUCAAAUAAAAAGAAGAGGAAGAGGAAAAAGGAGAAAAGAAGAAUAAGAACAAGAGGAAGAAGGAGGAGAAGGAGAAGGAGAAGGAGAAGGAGAAGGAGAAGGAGAAGGAGAACAAGAAGAAAAAAACCAGCCCAAUAGUCUGGGACUCAGUAACACAUUACAGUGGAAAUCAGUCUGACCUGGAUUGGGUGCCCAAGUCUACAUUGAAAUGCCCUCCUGUUCCCUUUGCCCAAGGCUGUUGCAGUGACCUCGGUCCUGAUAGAGUUGGGAACUUCCCUUGUUCUUGUCACUUUCUCAUACCACCACCCACAGCUUGGUGUCUUGAUCCCAAAUCUCAGCCCUGCCUUGUCUGAUGCUGGGCUGCUGCCUUGACUCUGAGGCUUAUUCCCACGGGGGACUAUCUCAUCGUCAGUGAUCAAAGCCUUUUCCCCUUAGCCUUGCUGAUCCUGACCUGGACCAAUUUCAUGGAUUAUCUGUUGAUGGCACAUCCUCUUAGAUUCCACAUUUGCUGUAUCAGCUCAGAGUUUUCUUCCUUUGAUCUCUCCUGUCACCAUAAGAAAGCCAGGCCUGGUAUCUGACAAACUUAGUACCAAAUUGUACAUCCCAUUUUGCUCCCCCUGAUGAACCGUCAGCCCUACUAGGCUGGUCAGUUUCUUUUUCUAGAUGCAUAUUCUGCACAUGUCUGCCUCAUAACUUUGUCCUCACCAUCCUUUGCCCAUCCUCUGCUCAUCCUCUGCCCUGGCCCAUCCUCUGCUCAUCCUCUGCCCUGGCCCAUCCUCUGCUCAUCCUCUGCCCUGGCUCCUCAUUAAAAAUCCUCCUGUAAAUAUUUAAUGAAAUUCUACCCAUCUUUCAGGGUCAAAUUUGGGUACCACCUCCUAUUCAUCCCAUCAACCCCUGAGUUCUUUCUCUUUUUUUGAACCCCUGGAAUUGGUUGUACAGACAUGUGACCACUUAAAACACAAUAACCACUUGAGCUUGCACCAUAUAGCACUGAGUGUGUGCCAGGCACUACUCUACACACAUAAUGGCAAGCCUAUGAGGUAGGUGCACUGUGAUUAUCCCCACUAAAUAGACAGAGAAAGUGAAGCACAGAGAGGCUAAGUUAUUGAGCCAAGGUUUUAUAACUAGUAAGUUGCAGAGCCAGAAUUUGAACCAAGGUGGUCUGGCUCUAAAGGACAUGUUUUUAACCACUACACCAUACUACCUAAACUCAUAACACUUAAUACCUGACCCUGUGCAGCCUCUGAUAGCCCUAAUAUUGUCAUUUAAAACUUACAUUGUAUGCCUUAAUCCCUGUUUAUUGUAGUAAGGGUUGCAUCUUAUCCAAUUCUGUGUCUAUUUCUAGCAAGUCUCAACAUAAUGCCAUUUAUUGAGAAAAAAAAUCCUUUGAUUGGAACGUUAGCUUGAACAAAUGUUAACUUGAACAAAUAAAGCUUGAACAAAAUCGUUAGCUUGAACAACAAACUUCUUUCUAUUUUCACUCUGUAGGAGCUUCAUCCUCAGGCUCACCAGGCUGCAUUCUGG
rnacentral:lncRNA from 1 species